rnacentral:rRNA from 1 species
CCUACGGGAGGCUGCAGUGGGGGAUAUUGCACAAUGGGGGAAACCCUGAUGCAGCGACGCCGCGUGAGUGAAGAAGUAUUUCGGUAUGUAAAGCUCUAUCAGCAGGGAAGAAAAUGACAGUACCUGACCAAGAAGCCCCGGCUAACUACGUGCCAGCAGCCGCGGUAAUACGUAGGGGGCAAGCGUUAUCCGGAUUUACUGGGUGUAAAGGGAGCGUAGACGGUUAUGUAAGUCUGGAGUGAAAGCCCGGGGCCCAACCCCGGGACUGCUUUGGAAACUGUGUAACUGGAGUACAGGAGGGGCAGGCGGAAUUCCUGGUGUAGCGGUGAAAUGCGUAGAUAUCACGCAGAACUCCGAUCGCGAAGGCAGCCUACCGGCGCGCAACUGACGCUCAUGCACGAAAGCGUGGGUAUCGAACAGGAUUAGAUACCCGAGUAGUC